rnacentral:rRNA from 1 species
CCCUUAGAUGUUCUGGGCUGCACGCGCGCUACACUGACGCACGCAACAGGUGCCUGCUCCGAGAGGAUUGGGUAAUCAUUUGAGUGUGCGUCGUGAUGGGGAUAGAAUAUUGUAAUUAUUACUCUUCAACGAGGAAUUCCUAGUAAGCGCCAGUCAGCAGCUUGCGCUGAUUACGUCCCUGCCCUUUGUACACACCGCCCGUCGCUCCUACCGAUGGGUGAUCCGGUGAAUGAUUCGGACUUCAGCGGCUCCCCUGGGGUGCGCCGGAGAAAGUUUUGUGAACCUUAUCACUUGGAGGAAGGAGAAGUCGUAACA